GUGUGGAAUAUUGGACAAUGGGCGAAAGCCUGAUCCAGCCAUGCCGCGUGUGUGAAGAAGGUCUUCGGAUUGUAAAGCACUUUAAGUUGGGAGGAAGGGCAGUAAGUUAAUACCUUGCUGUUUUGACGUUACCGACAGAAUAAGCACCGGCUAACUUCGUGCCAGCAGCCGCGGUAAUACGAAGGGUGCAAGCGUUAAUCGGAAUUACUGGGCGUAAAGCGCGCGUAGGUGGUUUUGUAAGUUGGAGGUGAAAUCCCCGGGCUCAACCUGGGAACUGCCUCCAAAACUGCAUGACUAGAGUACGGUAGAGGGUAGUGGAAUUUCCUGUGUAGCGGUGAAAUGCGUAGAUAUAGGAAGGAACACCAGUGGCGAAGGCGACUACCUGGACUGAUACUGACACUGAGGUGCGAAAGCGUGGGGAGCAAACAGGAUUAGAUACCCCUGUAGUCC
rnacentral:rRNA from 1 species